rnacentral:rRNA from 1 species
UACGGGGGGGGCAAGCGUUGUUCGGAAUUACUGGGCGUAAAGGGUUCGUAGGUGGCUUGCUAAGUCAGACGUGAAAUCCCCCGGCUUAACCUGGGAACUGCGUCUGAUACUGGAAGGCUUGAGGAUGGGAGAGGGAUGUAGAAUUCCAGGUGUAGCGGUGAAAUGCGUAGAUAUCUGGAGGAAUACCGGUGGCGAAGGCGGCAUCCUGGACCAUUACUGACGCUGAGGCGCGAAAGCUAGGGGAGCAAACGGG